rnacentral:lncRNA from 1 species
ACCAAGAUCCCCUCUCGUAAUCCAUCUAUGUCAGGAACACAUAACCUCCUUUGGUACAGUGAGGUACCAUCACCACUGACCUCAAAGGCCAUUACUUUCUGCCCACCUACGUGGCCUUGAUCCUCAUCAAGACAGGAUCCAACACUUGCUUCUCCUUCACCUCGGUACCCAGGGACGAUUGCGCCACCUUCUUCACAAACACACCACCAUCCUUAAAGUCCAAGAGGCGAACUUCAAGGUUAGCUAAGCGAU